rnacentral:rRNA from 1 species
CGCUGAACUUAAGCAUAUUAAUAAGCGGAGGAAAAGAAACUAACCAGGAUUCCCCUAGUAACGGCGAGUGAAGCGGGAUGAGCUCAAGCUUAAAAUCUCUGUGCCAGUUUGGCAUGGCGAAUUGUAGUCUAUAGAGGCGUUGUCAGUGCAGCUGUGCGGGGUAAGUUCCUUGGAAGAGGACAGCAUCGAGGGUGAUACUCCCGUUUGUACCUGUGCGGCUUGCGCGUACGACACGUUUUCUUCGAGUCGCGUUGUUUGGGACUGCAGCGCAAAGUAGGUGGUAAAUUCCAUCUAAAGCUAAAUAUUGGUGCGAGACCGAUAGCGAACAAGUACCGUGAGGGAAAGAUGAAAAGAACUUUGAAAAGAGAGUUAAAGAGUACCUGAAACUGCUGAAAGGGAAGCGAAUCGUAUCCAGUGUCUAUAAUCUGCGGCAUAUUUCAUUGGCGGCGGUGCGCGUGCUUUUGCGUCGGAAGCGGCUUUUGUUGCUCUGUGCUUUUGCUGUGCGUGGUGUUGCUGGUGCCCUGUGUUGCGGUGGGACGUCAGAGUCAGUUUGUAUGCUGCGGGAAAUGGCUGCCGAGGAGGUAGGUCGAGAUUUCGGUCUUGGCUGUUAUAUCUUGGUGGUUUGUUGUCGUGGUUGAGACUGAGGUGCCUACAAUGUGCUUUUGAGUGUACCGGGUUCUCAUUUGGUGGACUGUUUGGAUAGCUUGCUAUGCUUGUGGUUUUUUCAUCGGGUGAUUGAGUCUGGUGGUAACUUAUUGCCGUUCGGGACUUUGACGAAAUGGAGCGAUUCGGCCCGUCUUGAAACACGGACCAAGGAGUCUAACAUGUGUGCAAGUGUUAGGGUGUGGAAACCCGAGCGCGUAAUGAAAGUAAAGGGUGGCUUUAGCUGCCUGAGGUAGGAAACCUUUGUUCUCAGAGGUGGCACUAUCGACCGAUCAAGAACCUUCGUGGUGAAAGAUUUGAGUAUGAGCACAUAUGUUGGUACCCGAAAGAUGGUGAACUAUGCCUGAGUAGGGUGAAGCCAGGGGAAACUCUGGUGGAAGCUCGUAGCGAUUCUGACGUGCAAAUCGAUCGUCAAACUUGGGUAUAGGGGCGAAAGACUAAUCGAACCAUCUAGUAGCUGGUUCCCUCCGAAAUUUCCCUCAGGAUAGCAGCAACUUAUUUACGAUAGUUUUAUGAGGUAAAGCGAAUGAUUAGAGGACUGGGGGAAGCAACUUUCUCCACCUAUUCUCAAACUUUAAAUCUGUAAGACCUGCAGGUUUCUUAAUUGAACUUGUGGAUGUGAAUAUCAAGUUGCUAGUGGGCCAUACCGGGUAAGCUGGUCUGGCG